rnacentral:rRNA from 1 species
AAUUGGUUCCUACAAAACCAUUAGGUGGAUGACUUGGCUCGGGUUGCCGAAGAAGACUGUGGCAAGCAGCAUUAUGCUUGGGCGAAGCGCACGCAGCUUUUGAACCCAAGAUUGUUGAAUAGGACAUCCUGUCUUAUUGACGAUCUACAAAGAUAGGGAACGCGGGAAACUGAAACGUCUUAGUACCCGCAGGAAAAGAAAUCAAUCGAGAUGCGGCUAUUAUCAGCGAGAGAACGUCGCACAGGGCAAACCGAAUCUUUUAUCGAAAGAUAAUAGAAAUGUGGUGUUCAGGCUAAUCUUCUGUCCUCGCUAAUCAACUCAAACUUUUUUGGAAUAAAAGACCAUAGAGGGUGACAGUCCCGUAGAGACAAAUUGGCAAGACUUGAUUAGUUCUAGAGUAGGGCGCAUUUGAAAUUGCGUCUGAAUUUGUGGGUCAUCAACCCAUAACCCUAAAUACAAACCGAGACCGAUAGAGAAUUAGUACCGUGAGGGAAAGUUGAAAAGUACCUGUAACAGGGAGUUAAAAGACCUGAAACCUAAUGGUGAUAGUAUGAUGCUGCUCUUCGGAGUUGCAUCGUACGUUUAGAAUAACGGGCCAGGGAGUGUAUUUGAGUGGCAAGGAUAAAUGUGUUAAGCAUGCAUCCGUAGCGAAAGCAAUUUCCCGCAGGAAACAAGGGGAGAGGUGCUAAUCCGCCUUAAGUCACUUGAGUACGACCCGAAACCAGAUGAUCUAUCCUUGGACAAGGCGAAGCGGAGGUAAAACUUCGUGGAGGCCUGAAGAGGUUCUACGUGCAAGUGUUCUUCUGAUCUGAGGAUAGGGGUGAAAAGCCAAUCGAAUCUGGUGAUAGCUGGUUCCUGCCGAAAUAGGCCGUAGUCUAGUCCUUGUGGAGAUGACAUAGAUGGUAGAGCUACGGAUUUGAGAUUUUGGGGAAGAAAUUCCUCGGUCUCUUGUUCAACUCCAAAAGUCUAUGUAUCGUAGAAACAGGGAAACGCUGGUAGGCGGUAAGCGACUAUCAGGAGAGGGGAACAACCCAGACUAUAGUUAAGGUCCCUAAAUAUUGAUUAAGUGUGAAAGGGUGAAGGGUGUAUAAUACCUAAUACAGAUGGGAGGUAAGCUUAGAAGCAGCUACCCUUUAAAGAAAGCGUAACAGCUCACCAUUCUAGGUAUUGUGCCCCGAAGAUGGACGGGGCUAAAUCAAUUACCGAUACUGUAGUUCUCCGUAAGGAGUUAAGGUAGGCAGGUGUCCCGCUUGACUAGAAGCUUUCUCGCAAGAGGAAGUGGAUCGAGUUGGGAAUAAAAAUCCUGGCAGUAGUAGGACCAGACCAUAGUGAGAAUCUAUGGCGCCGGAAGGGCAAGGGUUUCUUGGCAAUGCAGUUCAGCUAAGAGUAAGUCGAUCCUAACCAAACUCGUAAAUGAGUAAUGGGAAAGGGCAAACGGUUAAGAUUCCGUUACUGACUUGGUACUCGGCAACGAAAGCUUUGCAUUUGACGGUUUGGGCUAGACCAACAUAUCUAAUCAGGUGUGUUAACUGAAAUAAGUCCAGUGAGUAUCUUAAUGAUGAGAUCUGGAUUAAAUUUAGGAAUAAUAGAUUGUAUAAUUUAUUUGGUUGAGGCCUUGACCCCGUGAAAAGAAAGCAAAGAUGAAUCCAAGUUAUUCGUACCCAGAACCGGCACAGGUGCCCCUAGGUGAGGAACCUAAGGUGUGUGGGAGCAAUCUUUCUAAGGGAAUUCGGCAAUUUAGUCCCGUAUCCUCGGUAUGAGGGAUCCCUGCGAUCGUGUUUGUAUGAAUGCGAUUACAGGGCGCAGUGACAAGGGAGGUCCGACUGUUUAACAAAAACAUAACUGACUGCGAGCCCGCAAGGGUGUGUAUAGUCAGUGACGUCUGCCCAGUGCUAGUACUUCAAAGCUCGUUUCAACGAGCCUAAGAGCUAGUAAACGGCGGGAAUAACUAUAAUUCUCUUAAGGUAGCGUAAUGCCUUGUCGUUUUAUUGACGACGUGCAUGAAAGGCGUAACGAGAUCUCCGCUGUCCCUAGAAAGAACCCCCCGAACACAUUAUACCGGUGCAAAGACCGGUGACCCCUGGCGGGAAGCAAAGACCCCGUAGAACUUUACUACAGUUUAUUGUUGUGAUGUGAGCUCUGUUGUGCAGUAUAGGUGGAAGUCGCCAAAGCUUAGACGCUAGUUUAAGUGUAGACAACAAGUGAGAUACCACCCUUCAGAACUUACAUUGCUUACUUUAGAAAUAAAGGACAUCAAUAGAUGGGUAGUUUCGCUGGGGCGGCAGCCAGUUGAAAAGAUAUCAACAGGGCCCUAAGGUUGACUCAAUCGGGUUAGAAAUCCGAUGUGGAGUGCAAGAGCAAAAGUCAGCUUGACUGAGUCUUCAAUUCUAAGAGACUCAGAGACGAAAGUCCGGUCUAGCGAACCCUCGUGUCCUUAUUGAUGAGGGCCGAGGCAGACAGAAAAGCUAUCUCGGGGAUAACUGAGUGGUAGCGCCUAAGAGCUCAAAUUGACGGCGCUGUUUGCUACGACGAUGUCGGCUCGGCUCAACCUGGGCGUGCAGAAGCGCCCAAGGGUGGGGGUGUUCACCCAUUAAAGAGUCUCGUGAGCUGGGUUCAGAACGCCGUGAGGCAGUUUGUUCGAUAUCUGGCAGGGGUGUUCAAGUGUCUGAGAGGAAGGAUCUUUUAGUACGAGAGGAACAAAGGUUCGUGGCCACUGGUCAAUCGGUUGUCUGAUAAGGCAGGCCGAGCAGCUACGCCACAAGCGAUAAGAGCUGAAAGCAUCUAAGCUCGAAGCGUGCCUCAAAAUGAGACACAACAGGCGCUCGAAAAAGACGAGGUUGAUAGGAGCGGUGUGUAAGCAUAAAGGUUCACGAUAUGUUCAGCAUGCGCUUACUAAUAGCCUGGAAAUAUAU